rnacentral:rRNA from 1 species
CCCGCACAAGCGGUGGAGCAUGUGGUUUAAUUCGAUGAUACGCGAGGAACCUUACCUGGGCUCAAAUGUAUGUUGACGUAUUCUGAAAGGGAUACUUCUUCGGACAAUAUACAAGGUGCUGCAUGGUUGUCGUCAGCUCGUGCCGUGAGGUGUCGGGUUAAGUCCCAUAACGAGCGCAACCCCUAUCAUUAGUUGCCAUCAGGUCAAGCUGGGGACUCUAAUGAAACUGCCUACGCAAGUAGUGAGGAAGGUGGGGAUGACGUCAAAUCAGCACGGCCCUUACGUCCAGGGCUACACACGUGCUACAAUGGCCGGUACAAAGGGCAGCUACCUGGUGACAGGAUGCUAAUCUCAAAAGCCGGUCUCAGUUCGGAUUGCAGUCUGCAACUCGACUGCAUGAAGUUGGAAUCGCUAGUAAUCGCGGAUCAGUCAAGCCGCGGUGAAUACGUUCCCGGGCCUU